rnacentral:rRNA from 1 species
CCUACGGGAGGCAGCAGUGAGGAAUAUUGGUCAAUGGGCGAGAGCCUGAACCAGCCAAGUCGCGUGAAGGAUGACGGCCCUACGGGUUGUAAACUUCUUUUGUCAGGGAGCAAUUGAGUCCACGUGUGGGCUUAGCGAGAGUACCUGAAGAAAAGCAUCGGCUAACUCCGUGCCAGCAGCCGCGGUAAUACGGAGGAUGCGAGCGUUUUCCGGAUUUAUUGGGUUUAAAGGGUGCGUAGGCGGAAUAUCAAGUCAGCGGUAAAAAUUCGGGGCUCAACCCCGUCGUGCCGUUGAAACUGAUGGUCUUGAGUGGGCGAGAAGUAUGCGGAAUGCGUGGUGUAGCGGUGAAAUGCAUAGAUAUCACGAAGAACUCCGAUUGCGAAGGCAGCAUACCGGCGCCCAACUGACGCUGAAGCACGAAAGCGUGGGUAUCGAACAGGAUUAGAUACCCUUGUAGUC